CACAGAGGUAGUUCUCCCAGGACCAGUGUUAUCCAUUACCCUUCAGAUGUACUGACCUCUGAUAUGUCCCCAAAGGUGGGAAGCUUGACUGCGAAGUUUCUGAUAGUGAGGGGAUGCCUUCACACUCUCCCCUGUUAAAAUUAAGGAAUAGAAUGAAAACUUCAUUUUUCCAUUCAUUAUCAGAUAUAUUUAAUAAUUUAAUGGUAGCAUAUGCAUAAUUUCUUAUCUUGAUGAUCUUCAUUUCUAUGCUGUGUAGAUAGCACUAACGUAGACAUAGUCAUCAACACGCUAGCUGGAGAGCUUAGUGAACAUAUUGAAAACCGUUUAAUUGUAUGCUCUUUGUGCCUGGAUUACAUGGCACGUGAAUUAUAGCUUAAUAAGACUUUACAAACAGUUCAUUGUGAGGCAAUGGCUGAAUCACAAUCUGAUUUUAGGAAUAUGUAGAUUUGUGGUACAUCCUGAAAAUUCAUUUUGACAAGUGUCUUAGAUAGGGUUUCAUUGCUGUGAAGAUCUAUCAUGACCAAAGCAACUCUUAUAAAUGAAAAAUUAAAAAAAAAAUCACGCUGGCAUACAAUUUCAGAGGCUUAAUCCAUUAUCAUCAUGGUAGAAAGCAUGCCAGCGUCCAGGCAGACUAGGUGCUGAAGAAGGAGCUGGGAGGUCUACAUCUUAAUCCGUAGGCAGCAAGGAGGAGGUUGCAUGUGUUUCACACUGGGCAUAGCUUGAGCAUUUAAGACCUCAAAGCCCACAGUGACACUUUUUCCAACAAGGCCACAUCUUCUCCAGGAAGGCCACACCUCCCAAUAGUGCUGAUCCCUAUGGCCAAGCACUAUGGGAGCCAAACUUACUCAAACCACCACAAUAAGUUAUUUUACCUUUCUGAGCUUGUCUUAAAAUUUUCAAAAAUGUUUUAAAAGGUGUUUGGUGUCUCAUGUGUGUAAUCUUAGGAAUUGUAAAGGGUGAGGACACGAUGCUGGAGGAACAGGAAUUCAGGGCUCUGGCUUCAGAUACCUUUUGUGUUUUUACUCCCAGUUAUUAUUUUUUUUAAUAAAGUUAAUGUAUACCUUAACAAUGUUUUUCAAAUUAAACUACAAAUUUUUGAGAAUAUGUACAAAAAUCUGGGGAGUAAAUAUUUACUAAGAUGAAUAAAAGAAUAUGCUAUUUUUCACUUUUGUAAGUAUUACUUAUUUACAGUAUGCUAAAUGUUUAAAACCCAAAUCAGUGUUUUGCUGUGUUUAAUUAGCCAUGUAAAAAUAAUGAUUGUACAUUUUAAGGACCGGAUAUGAAGUGUGAUAUUUGAUGAGUUUUGAGUAUACUUUAUUGCACAAACAUCAGCGUUCUCCAUUCCCACCUAAUCCCUGUCUCUGUUCCCCACAGGCAAUUGCUAUUUUAACUUUUUACAAAACCAUUUAUUAGUUUGCCUUCUCCAAAACUCUUUUUAAAAAGGAAGUAAUGAAUAUGUUCUUGAACAUAGGCUUCCUUAAUUUAUUUGACAAGUGUCUUAGUUAGGGUCUCAUUGCUGUGAAGAGAAGGCCUUUGUGAUCCAUCCAUGCUGCCGACUUUAUCAGCACUCUGUGCUGUACUGUUGCAUCAUGGUAUCCUACUGUGUAAGUACUCACUGUUUAAAAACUUCAUUUUUCUGCAUGGAGGACACUUGAGCAAUUUCUAGUUCCAUCCAGCUACUCUAAAGGGUCUGGAAGCAUAAUUGUAUAUGGAUAUUUAUAUUUUCUUGAGCAAAGUUCUAAGGUACAGUUGUUGGGUCAUAAGAUAAUUGUAUGUCUAAAUUUUGUUUAUAGGAUUAAAUUUUUUUCACUGAUUUGGAUUGAAUAAAGGACCUCAGACAUAAUAGACAAAGUGCUGUACCACUGUCUGCCCACAAUUCACUAAUCUAAAUAUUAUUUUCCCAUCAGUAUAUAUCUGUUGUAUGCAUGAAACAGAUUGUGAUGGUUCUUUUGUGAACAAAUGUGAAAGUGGAUUAUUCAUAUUUUCAUUUUUUACCUAAUUGUUAGAACAUGAAAAAUGUUCUGACAUUUUAGCAUAUAAAUUUCUGGCAAAACAAGCACAGAUUAUAUUUAUAUUGUUUUCUGAGGGUACCAUAAGCACAUAUGUAUAUGUACAUAUAUGUACACACACACACACACACACACACACACACACACACACGGUCAUAGCCACAUCUUUUUAUCUCAGUGAUCCUCCUCUGAUAUAAGCUACCAUGAUUUAAGCACACCAGUUUGGAUUGGGGGCUCAGGUGGCUGUUGCUUCUAUUUUUUAGUAUAUAGUUAACAUUGGCAGUCACCCUUAUAAUGAUGUGACACCAGCUACCCCCAAGUACAUUGAAUAAGCCUUGCCCAGCACAAGAUAACUUGAUUUAAUUGGCAACAGUAUUUGCCCUCAAAUGAUAGUCAGUGAAGUAAAACGGAACCUAUUUCACUUUGUCCUUUUUUUUUUUUUUUAAAUAACCACAGAAAUGUAUUUUUAAAAUAAUGGAAUUACAUGCCUUUAGAAAGUAUGAAUACAUUUAUUAGGGUAAAAUAUCUAAGUAACUUUGUUUAAAAAUCAAAUAUUUUAAAGCUAUUAAGGGAAUACUUUCAGCUUACAGUAUUGUCAACAAAAGACAUGAUUAAAUAAAUUGAAUGUUGAAGACUUUAAGCUUAUGGUUAACACCGGGUAAUUAAAAGUAAGAGCUGCUGUGGGAGUACAUUAUAUAUCAGCUGUCCUUUUACCUCAUUAGCUGGGGUUUUGCAUGUUUAUGGAGCUAACUUCAAUUAAAAAAUGCCUUUUAAGUUGUGUCUAACAAGGUCUUUUAGUUACUCUUUUAGUAUAAAGUAUUGCACUUUAAUUGAAACUGGUGUAUCAUAAAUACCUGUGUUCAAAUAAUACACAAUAUAAACAACUGGUUAUUUGGUACUUUUGCUGUUUAAAAAAAUUGUUUAUUGUUUUCUGUGUGAUAUAAUCAAAAGCUGUUGUGUUUCAUGAGCUUUAUACAUGUAUCCAUUGCUUGUGUAGGUAUUGUUUUCUCUUUUGAGAUAGUUAAGGUUUUAUGAUUUUAAGUUAACACUGCUUUAAAUUUCUUAUUGAAACAUAUUGAAUUUUCUGCAUCAGUUAUUAAGUUUUUAAAAAAGUUAAUUUCUUGUCCUCUUCAAUUCCAAAAUUCUCUCUUUCCACUCCCCACAUUCUCUUUGAUUAUGUUUAUUAGAAAAUUCAAGAUGGUCUUAAAUUUAAGAACUCUAGUGUAAAUGUUGGUUAAAAUGUUAAAAUGAAUUAUUUUCAUAGGACUUUGUCUUAGUUUUAAAAACAAUGAGGCUGGGGAGAUAGAUUGUAGGUAAAGUGUUUGCUGUGCAAACAAGAGGAGGGUUUGAUCCUCAUCAACCAUUGUUUUAAAAAGCUGUCUGUGUAGAAGGGAGUGUGGGGAGGGGGUGAGAAGGAUGGCUCAGAGGUUAAGAUCACUGGAUGCUCUUCCAGAGGGUCUGGGUUUGAUUCCCAUCACCCACAUGGCAGCUCACAACUGAUUGAAAUUCCAGUUCCAGGGAAUCGAAUAGCCACUUCAGCUACCAGCUACACAUAAUACAGAGUACUCAUAUGUAUUAAAUACAAACAAUUAAAAACCUUGGAUGUGAUGUGCUCUUGCAAGUUCAGCUCUGGGGAGACAGAAUCCUGUGAACCUUGGAAUUCAUCAGUUAGCCUACUGAGCAGUUCUGCCCAGUGCCAGCCCUGUCCCAAAAACAAGUUGGUGCCUGAGGAAUAACAUCCAAGGUUGUGGUCUUGUUUAUGCAUACAGACUCUGUCUGUCUCUUAAUCCUUCUCUCUCCUUCCCUCCCUCCCUCUCUCCCUCUC
rnacentral:lncRNA from 1 species